rnacentral:rRNA from 1 species
GACAGAGGUGCCGAGCGUUAGGCGGAAUCACUGGGCUUAAAGCGUGUGUAGGUGGAUGCCUAAGUACCUUGUGAAAUCCCACGGCUUAACCGUGGAACUGCUUGGUAUACUGGGUGUCUUGAGCCAGCUAGGGGCUACCGGAACAAAUGGUGGAGCGGUGAAAUGCGUAGAUAUCGUAAGGAAGACCAGUGGCGAAGGCGGGUCUCUGGACAGUUCCUGACGCUGAGGCACGAAGGUCAGGGGAGCAAACGGG